GACGAACGCUGGCGGCGUGCCUAAUACAUGCAAGUCGAGCGAAUCAAUAGGAGCUUGCUCCUGUUGGUUAGCGGCGGACGGGUGAGUAACACGUGGGCAACCUGCCUGUAAGACUGGGAUAACACCGGGAAACCGGUGCUAAUACCGGAUAAUCCUUUUCCUCUCAUGAGGAAAAGCUGAAAGACGGUUUCGGCUGUCACUUACAGAUGGGCCCGCGGCGCAUUAGCUAGUUGGUGAGGUAACGGCUCACCAAGGCGACGAUGCGUAGCCGACCUGAGAGGGGGAUCGGCCAAACUGGGACUGAGACACGGCCCAGACUCCUACGGGAGGCAGCAGUAGGGAAUCUUCCACAAUGGACGAAAGUCUGAUGGAGCAACGCCGCGUGAGCGAUGAAGGCCUUCGGGUCGUAAAGCUCUGUUGUUAGGGAAGAACAGGUACCGGAGUAACUGCCGGUACCUUGACGGUACCUAACCAGAAAGCCACGGCUAACUACGUGCCAGCAGCCGCCGUAAGAC
rnacentral:rRNA from 1 species